GGAAUAUUGGUCAAUGAGCGGAAGCUUGAACCAGCCAUGCCGCGUGCAGGACGACUGCCCUAUGGAUUGUAAACUGCUUUUGUACGGGAAGAAAAAGAGCUACGUGUAGCUUAUUGACGGUACCGUAAGAAUAAGGAUCGGCUAACUCCGUGCCAGCAGCCGCGGUAAUACGGAGGAUCCGAGCGUUAUCCGGAAUCAUUGGGUUUAAAGGGUCCGUAGGCGGCCUUAUAAGUCAGUGGUGAAAGUUUUUGGCUUAACCAAAAAUUGCCAUUGAUACUGUAGGGCUUGAAUAUUUGUGAAGUAACUAGAAUAUGUAGUGUAGCGGUGAAAUGCUUAGAUAUUACAUGGAAUACCAAUUGCGCAGGCAGGUUACUAACAAAUGAUUGACGCUGAUGGACGAAAGCGUGGGUAGCGAA
rnacentral:rRNA from 1 species